GCCAGCGCGAUGUAGUGGUUUGAGCAUUGGACUAUGACUCUGGAGACCAGGGUUCAAAUCCCUGCUCAGCCA